rnacentral:rRNA from 1 species
UACGUAGGGUGCGAGCGUUAAUCGGAAUUACUGGGCGUAAAGCGUGCGCAGGCGGCGGCUCAAGUCAGGUGUGAAAUCCCCGGGCUUAACCUGGGAAUUGCGCUUGAAACUAGGUCGCUAGAGUGUGGCAGAGGGGGGGUGGAAUUCCACGUGUAGCAGUGAAAUGCGUAGAGAUGUGGAGGAACACCGAUGGCGAAGGGCAGCCCCCCUGGGUCAACACUGACGCUCAUGCACGAAAGCGUGGGGAGCGAAACAAGGAUUG